CCUACGGGUGGCAGCAGUGGGGGAUAUUGCACAAUGGGGGAAACCCUGAUGCAGCGACGCCGCGUGGGCGAAGAAGUAUUUCGGUAUGUAAAGCCCUAUCAGCAGGGAAGAAGAAAUAACGGUACCUGAGUAAGAAGCACCGGCUAAAUACGUGCCAGCAGCCACGGUAAUACGUAUGGUGCAAGCGUUAUCCGGAUUUACUGGGUGUAAAGGGAGCGCAGGCGGCACGGCAAGUCUGAUGGGAAAGCCCGGGGCCCAACCGCGGGACUGCAUUGGGAACUACCGGGCUGGAGUGCCGGAGAGGUAGGCGGAAUGCGUGGUGUAGCGGUGAAAUGCGUAGAUAUCACGAGGAACACCAGUGGCGAAGGCGGCAUACUGGACGGUGACUGACGCUGAGGCACGAAAGCGUGGGGAGCGAACAGGAUUAGAUACCCGAGUAGUC
rnacentral:rRNA from 1 species